rnacentral:misc_RNA from 1 species
GCGGAAGAGGGAAUUAUGACGAAGGCGGAGCUUGAGUGCGCCUCGGCCAGAAGACCCGCGGGUGCGCACGAGAGAGGAAGGCAGCGCGUCGUCUCCUUCAUUAACGCUACAAAUGUCAAAUACAACGAGAUAACUAGUCGCCAAAAAGAAAGCAUGGAGGAGUUACUUUCAUUGAAGUGGAACAACCACCGUUCCACUUUCCUCCACAUUUUGGGAGUUCUCAGGGACAAGCAAUCAUACACGGAUGUGACUCUGGCAUGUGAUGGCAAGUUCUACAGUGUGCAUAAGCUGGUGUUGUCAACAUGUAGUGACUAUUUCUGUGCCAUGUUUGAGAAGACUGCUUGUAAAAGCCCUGUUAUAGUGUUAAAAGAUAUUAAAUGUGAGGACCUUGAGGCCUUGCUAGACUAUAUGUACCUUGGUGAAGUGAAUGUAAGGCAAAGUGACCUAGCGUCUUUGAUAAAGGCUGCCGAAAAUUUACGCAUCAAGGGUCUCGCAGUACCUGAUGAUGAACCUUCUAAUAAAGUUCCGGCGACGUCUGCACCAAACAGAGCUGAACCGGCGAGGAGAGAAGGAGGGAUUGGUAGCCCUCCUGCCAAGCGGAAAAGAAGAGAUGAGGGUGAAGACGGCAGGGAAGAUGUAAGACCGCAGGCCAGUGGUGGCUUACAAACCCCCCCUCCUCCUCCGUCUAGACCAAAGAGCCCUAUUGCCCAGCGCCUGAGCCCUUCCCCCCACAGAACCUCUCAGGAAUCCCCUGCAACAGAUGAUCGUGUCAGCCGUCCCCUCUCGUCGCCAGCAGAAAACCCUGCCUCGUCUCAUGUCACGGCACAAUCUUCCGCGCACACCACUGCGUCACAAGCGCAAGCCAGUAAUCAGUUUAGAUCAGAAGAGACUCCCUCCUUUGUCAAAGUGGAAAUGGAGGAAGAAAGUGCCAACGAGAUGCCUGGAGACUCCUACGACCUCAGCGCGGACGGUUACAAGGAAGAAGGCGACGAUUCUGGAAGUGGAGUGAAUAAUGAUUUACCUGAGUUCCUACAAGCAGCAGCCACUGGAGCCUUAGCUGGUAGCACAGCCUCGUACCCUCACCCUUCCUUUGCCGGGCCCUCUGGCUACCAGCCGGGAGACCUGGCGGGCUGGCAGGGUGAUGGAUCGUCCAUAGGCUUCCCUGCACAUCUUAACUUUAGCACCUCAGACAGUUCUAGUCAACAGAAUGCACCCGGGGAUGUUGGGGUGGGCCAGGUCGGUGUAAUGGGGAUUGAAAAUCACAGCUGGUCAAGAGCGGAAGGGAAGGCACAAGGGAGACGCAACGUUUGCCCUCAUUGUGGAAAGAGUUUUGCUUACCCAAAAGACCUACGUCGACACAUUCUGACGCACACAGGGGAGAAGCCGUUUGGGUGUCCGUUUUGCAGUCAUAGAGCCAAUCAUAAGAGCAACUUGAAGAUGCACAUAUUCUGUGGCAUGGGGAUAGAUGAAGUCGGUGCAAUGGGAAGUUUGAGUCUUAGUAGACUGAGAGCUGUUGUGAGUACCCACCCCAAGCGACACUUGUGUCCCUUCUGUGGCAAGGGCUUUCAGUCGCCCAAGGACCUACGGCGACAUAUUCUGACUCACACUGGGGAGAAGCCCUAUCUCUGCCCGUACUGCAAUCACAGAGCUAAUCAGAAGAGCAACUUGAAGUCUCAUAUGCUGUGUGUUCAUAACAAAGACGAUUCCUGAAUCUGGCAAGUUGCGGUUGCGGUUGUUCUAGGAACGUGUCAGACCUCGAGGGCAUGGGUGUUCGUGAAAUGGAAAGUAUGAGUGACAGUAGACUGAGAAUCAUCUUGGGUUCCCACAGCAAGAAACACUUGUGCACCCACUGUGGCAAGAGCUUUCAGUCCCCCAA